rnacentral:rRNA from 1 species
UUGAANUGGGCGCAAGCCUGAUCCAGCCAUGCCGCGUGAGUGAUGAAGGCCUUAGGGUUGUAAAGCUCUUUCGCUCGGGACGAUAAUGACGGUACCGAGAUAAGAAGCCCCGGCUAACUUCGUGCCAGCAGCCGCGGUAAUACGAAGGGGGCUAGCGUUGUUCGGAAUUACUGGGCGUAAAGCGCGUGUAGGCGGGUCUUUAAGUCAGGGGUGAAAUGCCAAGGCUCAACCUUGGAACUGCCUUUGAUACUGGAGACCUUGAGUCCGGGAGAGGUGAGUGGAAUUGCGAGUGUAGAGGUGAAAUUCGUAGAUAUUCGCAAGAACACCAGUGGCGAAGGCGGCUCACUGGCCCGGAACUGACGCUGAGACGCGAAAGCGUGGGGAGCAAACAGGAUUAGAUACCCUGGUAGUCCACGCUGUAAACGAUGGAUGCUAGCCGUUGGGGAGCUUGCUCUUCAGUGGCGCAGCUAACGCUUUAAGCAUCCCGCCUGGGGAGUACGGUCGCAAGAUUAAAACUCAAAAAAAUUGACGGA